UACCCAGUUGUGUCUAAGGUGUUUUUUUUCUUCUUUGUAAAAACACCUUAGACACAACUGGGUAAUC
rnacentral:miRNA from 1 species